UCCAACCAGAAUCGGUUGGACCAGGUGUCGGUUGGACCAGGUCUCGUUGAACCGAGACCUGGUCUCGUACGGGAUGUGCAGGUCUCGUACGAGACCUGCUGCGGAAUUUCAGGGGGGCAGUUUUGCCCCCUGAUUUCUCUCGAUCUAUCCGCGUUUUAAAAACGCUUUCUAAACCAAAUAUCUUCACCACACAUCAGUCUAGCCCUAGCCGCUUUCCUCAUUCAAUUUCGCUGAGAAUCCUUUCCGAAAUCAUCAACCAAAGUUAAGUGAAAAUCAUUGGUUUCGCUUCCUUCCAGUGAUAGAAGACUCACGUAUCUACAAAUCCCAAUUUUUGUUUCGUCAAACGCCGUUCGGAGGUCGAAAUCAAUUCCGUUUGUUUCCCGUGAAAGUAGACUCACGCAUCUACGUUUCUACACCUUUCGUUCGUCAAACGACCCGUCGACUGCUCGUGCUUCGGAGUCUACGCAGGGUUAGCUGUUUGCCAAGAUCACGUGGAUAAGCAAGCAGUUUAUGAUUUGAAAGCUGGUCCACUCCGAUUCUUUUGAUUCCUCGGAGGUUUUUAUGUUAUUAAACUAGUUUCUAUUUUUUGAACUCUUAGACCGCAGUAGAACUAGUUUAUACAUUACUUAUUAUUGCACUUUGGGAUUGUCGAUUUGAGCGACUAUUUAUUUUUGGCAUGUUCACUCCGGAUUAUU